GUCCAUUUUGGGUGCAUUUCAAUUGAAGGGCGAGUCUAGUACUUCACCGUUUAUAUAAUCGGCGUGCCUGGUAAGAAAUGAAUUUGACGGGUCCAACGACUUCUGUAGCAGUCAUCGCAACUUCACUCCACCGAUUAAUGAAUGAAACAAGAAACUUAAUAGGUUCUCAGGCGACGCUGCAUUUACUUUACUUUCCUCAUAUGCCUGUCGCUAUCGCUCACCUUUCUCGCCCCAUCAUUUUUUUUUCUGAUUUUCUCUCCUCUUUAUCACAUCGUCCUUUAAAGCGGGAAACAAGUAAAAGCAAUGAAUACUCUGAUUUCUUCGUCUUCUCCAUUGGAUUUCUGUUGUUUUCUUCUCUCUAUUCACUUUCGCCAUUGGGCAUCUUCACUGCCCUUCUUCUUUGCUUUCCUUUAUUUCCAGCCAUACGUUCACACCCUGCUCAGGUUAGGGGUUGUGUCUUGCACUUUACUGUAGUUAGUGGUAAUAUUAACACUACAACUACAACUUUUGUCUCUGUUAUUGAUUUGUAUUAUUAAUUUAUUAUUUUGUUGGGUUUUUGAGUUGUCUUGUUCUUCACCUUGAUUUUAAAUUAUAUAUGUGUUUUAUACAUUAUAAUGACAAACGAAAGUCUUUUCAUGUUGGUUUGAGUAUCGUUUAACCUUUGAAAUGAUUUUCUGGGAUAAUUCAGGAUUGAAGAAGAGAUAUGCUUUACGGGUUUUGCUGAGUAGAUCAGGAACCUUGAAUUGGAUUAGAAUGAGCUUUAACUGCUUCGGUGUUUCAAAUUGCUUCAAAGGGAAAGAAAGUCACAGCCAACAACAGCCAGAAGAGAUUGCCACCAGUAAUGUGAGGAUCUUCUCUUAUAAUACGUUGACAUCAGCAACAGGAAAUUUCCAUCCAUCAAACAGAAUUGGUGGAGGUGGUUUUGGAGUUGUCCAUAGGGGAGUGUUAAGGGAUGGUACUCAAGUGGCAGUCAAGUGUCUUUCUGCUGAAUCUGGACAGGGAAAGCAUGAGUUCAUGACAGAGAUUAAUUUAAUAUCAAAUAUACGACAUCCAAAUCUUGUUGAGCUCAUUGGCUGCUGUAUUGAAGGAAGUAACCGGAUACUGGUCUAUGAAUAUAUGGAGAACAACAGCCUGGCAACUUCUUUACUUGGUACAAAAGGUAAACACAUUGUUAUGGACUGGUCUAAGAGAGCUGCUAUUUGCGUUGGUACAGCGACUGGUCUUGCAUUUCUUCAUGAGGAAGUUGAGCCACCUAUUGUCCAUAGGGAUAUUAAGGCUAGUAACAUACUUCUUGAUGGAAACUUACAGCCAAAAAUAGGGGACUUUGGGCUGGCAAAACUUUUUCCAGACAAUGUCACUCAUGUUACUACUCGAGUGGCUGGAACAGUGGGAUAUCUGGCCCCAGAGUAUGCCCUGCUAGGACAGCUUACCAAAAAGGCUGAUGUGUAUAGUUUCGGUGUGCUCAUACUUGAAAUAAUUAGUGGGAGAAGUAGCAGCAAGGCAGCAUUUGGGGAGGAUCUGUUGGUUCUGGUUGAAUGGGUAUCUUUUAAAACUUAAUUCAUCAGUUGGGCUAAAUCAUGUUAUGAUUGUAUUUUCAUUCAGUUUGUCAUUUUCGAUUUUCUGUCUCGCCAUUUUUAUAUCUAUCUAUUGUGGUCUUCCCAUAUGGAGAUGGAGAGUUUUAUGCCAUUGGAGGCAGGAAUUGGAGAACAGGUUAAAUUGAUUCACUUCUAUAACCUACUAUUGAUAUAGUGUCAUCAUGCAUCAAUCCGGAAAAUGAGAUCUUAGUUUCUUUUUGAGAUAGAGAUUUGUCUGGUGCUUUUUCAUGUCUUAUUUUGCAUCUUUUUGAGAUACUUAGAUUUAGAUGUUGUUGUAGGCGUGGAAACUGAGGAAGGAAGAAAGGCUUAUGGAUCUUGUUGAUCCAGAACUGACUGAAUAUCCAGAGGAUGAAGUGAGGCGCUUCAUUAAGAUUGCACUCUUUUGCACCCAAGCAGCUGCACACCAAAGACCCACUAUGAAGCAAGUACUGGAGAUGCUUUCCAGGAAUGUCAACCUUAAUGAGAAGGCACUAACAGAACCAGCAGUGUACAGGAGUCAGACCUCUCAAAACUUGGGAGGCAGUUCAGAUGAGACAUCGUCUUCCCAAAAGAAAAAAGGCAAGAAAUCAGCACAUCCUCCUGUAACCUCUACCCAGUUAGAUAGUGAUCAAAGUGUGACAGAGAUGUUCCCCAGGUGAUGCAUUGGCUACUUCUUCAUACUCACGGUUGUUCUUGUUGUUUAAUCUUGCUGACCACAAUAUAGGAGCCUGUAAAAGUACCAGCUCCUUGUCAAUUCUCCCUCCUUAGGCCUGGCAAUCUUUUACUCAGCAAUGUUCUUUAGGUGAAAUUAAAUUUUUGUUCAGAGAAUGGUUUGGGGGCAAUGAGAAUAAGGUAGUAGUGUUUACACCACAUGUAGUCUAACCUAGUUCAAUCCAGUUGCUGAAAGCAUAUUACUCAACCGCUAAAAUCAGGUUCCAGUCCUCAACUUCCAAUCUCCCAACUAAAAAAGGUCUAUACCAUAUGUGUAUACAAAGGUAAUCAGUUGAUUUAUGUGUUAUUCCUUCUUUUUGAUUCCUUUCUAUUGAUUAAUUGUUUUAUUUUUCUCCUUUCAAUCCCCGCUUGCUUAUUGGUUUGUCGGUUGCUUACGGUCGCUUAAUUAUGAAUUGUUAUAUCGUCUUUAUAGGGAUGAUUAUUUGGUGCGGACUUGCUUAUCAUGUACACAAACUUUUAGCCACUAAAUUAAACACCUCAAUCACAUCUUGAUGGUAUUAUA
rnacentral:misc_RNA from 1 species